rnacentral:lncRNA from 1 species
CCUAUCUCACACCUGUGUCAGAGGUCAGUCUUUCAAUUUUCACUUCCUAAAAAGUAUCACUUUUGAUAGUCUUCAUUAAUCCCACAUGUCACCCCUGCAGAACAUACUGAGUAAAUUGAACGUCUUGCUUUAGAGGUAGGAAGUGAGACAGUGAGACUAAGUUAUAAUGGGGGAAGGAGGACGAGCAGGCAUCCUAAGAACCAUACCUCAUCUUGCUAAUAUUUUAAGUUUUUCUGAGUUCUAUCACGAGACGGAACUGUAUGAUAAAAUGCUGUGCUGUUAUUAGAAAUGAUAAUGUGUCUGUGAACUAAAUCCUCUUAAAAGGAGAAAGCAGUGAAAAAGUAAGGUAUUUUAAUGAUGCCAAAAGAUCCUAUUGGGGUAAGAGUCACAGUCUGACAAUAUGAAAAUGUAACAAGAGUGUAUUUUGGCAUCAAAAAUACAGGGCUCUUCUCCUGGGCUGAUGAGUUAGGAAUAGUUUUGGUUAGGUGCUCAUUCAAACAAAUGUAAAGACACAAAUUUUGCUUACCUCAAAAAAAAAAAAAAAAGAAACCCUGAAACAUUUCCAAAUGCAUGUGCUUUUUGUAUUCCUCUUUAAUUUUAAAUAAUUAUUUUAGAGAAAUGGUUGUGUAUGUGAAUAUUUGUCAUAGAAUUUCUGAAUACCUCCCACUAUGUGAUCAGUUGAUAGGUUUUUAUUAAGAACUAUUACUUGCUUAGCUCUUCUCUGCCCUGAUCUGAUCAUUGCUAGGACAUUGCUAUCUCACUUUAUAUGAGGGAGAAGAGGAAACUUGACACCUAACUCUGUCAUCACCACCGUGCUUUAGGAAAAGAGCCCUGCAAUGAUGUGAAAGACCUAUUUUUACUUCUGAAACUACUAAGAAUGUAACUCGUCAGUUGCGAUGUGCAAAAGGGUUUAAAGAAUAAACAACGAGACAAAAUGAAACAGAAACACUAAUGAAAAGCUGUUCCAUUUUGUACUUCCAAAGAGGCUUGGGGUAAUAGAGAGGAAUGGGUGGCUGCAUUCAGAGAAUCUUAUUAAAUUAAAAUUCAUUGGAACCAAAAAGCUUUCCCUUGAUUAUAGUGUAAGUUAGCAUGAAAGAUAAAGCCUAAGAGACAGUGUCUAGUCCACAGGUGGCUUGGAAUCCAGAGGAUUCUAGGAAAGUAAAAGUUAUUAUUCACUGACUUUCAUCUCCCCAUGGUCACAUAUUUUCUGUGAGUUAAAUUUGGGCUCCAUUUAUAUUUGUUUCCAGAAAUGCACACCUGGGAGUUUUGCUACAAAAUUAUUUACAGUGGGAAGUCUCAAAAUUAUUUAGCUGUUUAAAAUCUGAGUGUCUGUCUAAAUGCAUUCUUGAUGAAAAUACCUUUCACCAUGUUAUACAAUGCCUCAGGUGUUAUUUGAUAAACAUGUUGAAAUUAAAUGGAAUUGUUGAUUUGGUCAGACCCACCUCCAAUUAUUUACUCAGGGUUACGCCAGGAUUUCAGUCAUUGAAAGAAAUAGAAAUUAGAAAUAUAUUUCUUAAAUAUACAAUAAACUGUUGACACUAUUUGAUGACAGGAGCUUCCAUUAAAUCAAUUUGAGAAAUGAGGAAAUUAUUCACACAAAAAGAAUAAGGAACAAUGAGAGGAGAAAAAAAAAACUACUUGGAAAGAUUAGAGAUAUAACUGAUUUUCAGCAUCAACUGGAACCAGAAUCAGAAUCUCAAACAAUGCUAGUUCUCUCUUUCCAGCAUUCAGUUCAACUUCUCUCUGUGGUAGAUUCAUUCUGUGAACCCACGCUAAUUUCUGUCAUUGGAAUAGUUACCAAAAGAUGGGAGGUUCUUCCUUUGGAAAAAAGGAGGAAGUUGAUCUGGUACUGGCAAAGGAGGCGCUGAAGAUAGAUAAAAACCAGAACAGUGGUGAUCCAUCCAAACCAGUCACUUUGGGGGGUAGUUAUCUUUAUUUUUACUCUUAGAAUAGUAAAAUGGCAAUGUGAAUUUAGGCCUGUCAUGCUUUAUAAAUAAAACUAUAACAUGUUCAUGUUUAAAAAAAUUUUUUUUUACUAAGGUAUUUUAUUUCAGUUGAAAUACAAUAAGCUGUAGAUAUCGAACAACUGUAACACAACCCGUGCAAACAAUGAUCUCCUUUCUGCCACUAUAGUUAGCAAUUUCCAGAAGGUUAUAUAAGUGGAGACAAAGAAUAUACAGUCAUUCUUGAAUGAUUUAUUUUAUUCAGCAUAACUAUCUCAAGGUUCAUUCAUGUUGUAGCAUGUCACAAUAGUUCUUUUUUUUUUUCUGAGUAGAAUUCCAUGACAUGGCGUUAUACAGACUGAAUUAUGGCUCCCCAAAAUUUCAGUGUCAAAGCCCUAGAAUCUAGUACACCAAAAUAUGACCAUAUUUGGAGAUAAAUGCCUUUUAAGAGAGAAUUAAUUAAUUAAUUAAUUUUUAAAAAAUGAGGCCAUAAUCCAAUCUGACUAGAGUCCUUUGAAGAAGAGGAGCCUAGGACACACAGAGACAUCAAAGAUAUAGGCACCAAGAAAAGACCAUGUGUGGGCAUCAGAAGAAGGCAGCCAACUGCAAGCCAAGGAGAGAGUCCCCAGAAGAAAUCAAACCUGCCCACACCCUGUUGUCAGACGUUUAGCCUCCAGAACUGU